rnacentral:rRNA from 1 species
AUGGAGGCUUCCCGCCUCUUCCCGGGCUGCCGCUGCCUCAGAUUCCCGGCAUGCCUACCCCCACUUCCUCAGAUCCCCGGCUUGCCGCCGCUGUUCGGGCCGCUCCCUGGUGGUGCACCGGGCGCCCCUCCAUCCCCUGCACUGCCUAGCCUCCCACACCUCCCACUUCCCACCGGCUCGCCAAGCCCGCCGCCGCCGAAGGAGUGCCUGACACCAUUGACGGCCAUGAUACCGUGCAUGGACUACCUCACCAACAUCACGGUCUUCUCGCCACCGGACGCGUGCUGCGACGGCCUCAAGUCGGUCGUCAGCACCGCGCCGAUCUGCCUCUGCCACGGCAUGAACAACAACGGCGGCAUGAGCAAGCUCUUCCCCAAGCCCAUAGAUCCGAUCCGCAUGAUCAUCCUCCCGCUUAGGUGUGGCGCCAUGAUACCCAUCCAGACGAUUUUCUCCUGCGGCAGUAAGUUACUGACCUUGUUCGGUGUGUGUUUUACUGUAUAUAUGUGCUGCUUCUUUGAAGGAGAUUGA